UCAAAACAGCGGACUUCGGUCCUUGCUGCACCCUUGUCUUUUGCGUACCGUAUGUUUCCUCGGCGGGCUUGCCUGCCGGUUGGACAUUAUCAAACCUUUUUGUAGUUAGCAAUCAGCGUCAGAAAAUAAUAAUAAUUA
rnacentral:misc_RNA from 1 species